ACGGGUGAGUAACACGUGGGUGAUCUGCCUCGCACUUCGGGAUAAGCCUGGGAAACUGGGUCUAAUACCGGAUAUGACCUGCUGUCGCAUGGCGGUGGGUGGAAAGAUUUAUCGGUGCGAGAUGGGCCCGCGGCCUAUCAGCUUGUUGGUGGGGUAAUGGCCUACCAAGGCGACGACGGGUAGCCGGCCUGAGAGGGCGACCGGCCACACUGGGACUGAGACACGGCCCAGACUCCUACGGGAGGCAGCAGUGGGGAAUAUUGCACAAUGGGCGAAAGCCUGAUGCAGCGACGCCGCGUGAGGGAUGACGGCCUUCGGGUUGUAAACCUCUUUCGACAGGGACGAAGCGCAAGUGACGGUACCUGUAGAAGAAGCACCGGCCAACUACGUGCCAGCAGCCGCGGUAAUACGUAGGGUGCGAGCGUUGUCCGGAAUUACUGGGCGUAAAGAGCUUGUAGGCGGUUUGUCGCGUCGUC
rnacentral:rRNA from 1 species